rnacentral:rRNA from 1 species
CAAAGGAAGCGAUUCCGGCAACGGAUGGGCAUGCGUGACAUUAGCUAGUUGGCGGGGCAACGGCCCACCAAGGCGACGAUGUCUAGGGGUUCUGAGAGGAAGGUCCCCCACACUGGUACUGAGACACGGACCAGACUCCUACGGGAGGCAGCAGUGAGGAAUAUUGGUCAAUGGGCGCGAGCCUGAACCAGCCAAGUCGCGUGAGGGAUGACGGCCCUACGGGUUGUAGACCUCUUUUGUCGGGGAGCAAAUUCCGCCACGUGUGGCGGAGUCGAGAGUACCCGAAGAAAAAGCAUCGGCUAACUCCGUGCCAGCAGCCGCGGUAAUACGGAGGAUGCGAGCGUUAUCCGGAUUUAUUGGGUUUAAAGGGUGCGUAGGCGGACUGUCAAGUCAGCGGUAAAAUACGGGGGCUCAACCUCCGCCCGCCGUUGAAACUGACGGUCUUGAGUGGGCGAGAAGUAUGCGGAAUGCGUGGUGUAGCGGUGAAAUGCAUAGAUAUCACGCAGAACUCCGAUUGCGAAGGCAGCAUACCGGCGCCCAACUGACGCUGAAGCACGAAAGCGUGGGUAUCGAACAGGAUUAGAUACCCUGGUAGUCCACGCAGUAAACGAUGAAUACUAGCUGUCCGGGGCGAAUGAGCCCUGG